UACGUAGGGGGCAAGCGUUGUCCGGAAUCAUUGGGCGUAAAGAGCGUGUAGGCGCCAGAAAAGUCCGCUGUGAAAACUCGAGGCUCAACUUCGAGCUGUCGGUGGAAACUUUCUGGCUAGAGUCCGGAAGAGGAGAAUGGAACUUCCUGGUGUAGACGGUGAAAUGCGCAGAUAUCAAGGAAGAACACCCGUGGCGAAGGCGGUUCUCUGGGACGGUACUGACGACUGGAGACGUCGAAAGCGUGGGGAGCGAACAGG
rnacentral:rRNA from 1 species